rnacentral:lncRNA from 1 species
CACAGAAGCAAUUAAUAAAGUCAACAGAGGAUUGAGAGAGAUCUUUACAACAGCUGAAUGGGAGAAGAAUACACAGACACAGAAUACAUGCGUUGUAAAUGCCAGUUGUGUGAAAACAAAAUUGGUGUAAUAUGUAGCUGGAUAUAGUCAGGCUGGCAUAAAGAAUCAAAAAGACUUUCCUGGAAGUUUAAUCAUGUUGCAACAUAACAAAAAGAGAACAACUGGAAAGUCAGUUGUCAAAAAUAAGAUGGCUUCAAGCUCUGCAAAAACACAGGGAAAGUACAAAUGGGCAUGCAAAUGGAUGCUUCUGAUGCCUUGACCAUGUCCUGUGGGUCCAGGAGCCCUUCUUUCCUGACUGUUGAUCCUGCUCCGUUAUCAAGUUGACUCUUUUUGCCUCAUUUCACCCUACUUCCCCUAACCUUCCUCGUUUUGUUGGU